GACGAACGCUGGCGGCGUGCUUAACACAUGCAAGUCGAACGAGGAGCGAUGGAAGCUUGCUUCUAUCAAUCUUAGUGGCGGACGGGUGAGUAACGCGUAAUCAACCUGCCCUUCAGAGGGGGACAACAGUUGGAAACGACUGCUAAUACCGCAUACGAUCUAAUCUCGGCGUCGAGGAUAGAUGAAAGGUGGCCUCUACAUGUAAGCUAUCACUGAAGGAGGGGGUUGCGUCUGUUUAGCUAGUUGGAGGGGUAACGGCGCACCAAGGCGAUGAUCAGUAGCCGGUCGGAGAGGAUGAGCGGACACAGUGGGACGGAGACACGGCCCAGACGCCUACGGGAGGGAGCAGUGGGGAAUCGUCCGCAAUGGACGAAAGUCUGACGAAGCAACGCCGCGGGAGUGAUGACGGCCGUCGUGUUGUAAAGCUCUGUUAAUCGGGACGAAAGGCCUUCUUGCGAAUAGUGAGAAGGAUUGACGGUACCGGAAUAGAAAGCCACGGCUAACUACGUG
rnacentral:rRNA from 1 species